GAUGAACGCUGGCGGCGUGCCUAAUACAUGCAAGUCGAGCGAACGGACGAGAAGCUUGCUUCUCUGAUGUUAGCGGCGGACGGGUGAGUAACACGUGGAUAACCUACCUAUAAGACUGGGAUAACUUCGGGAAACCGGAGCUAAUACCGGAUAAUAUUUUGAACCGCAUGGUUCAAAAGUGAAAGACGGUCUUGCUGUCACUUAUAGAUGGAUCCGCGCUGCAUUAGCUAGUUGGUAAGGUAACGGCUUACCAAGGCAACGAUGCAUAGCCGACCUGAGAGGGUGAUCGGCCACACUGGAACGGAGACACGGUCCAGACUCCUACGGGAGGCAGCAGUAGGGAAUCGUCCGCAGUGGGCGAAAGCCUGACGGAGCAACGCCGCGUGAGUGAUGAAGGUCUUCGGAUCGUAAAACUCUGUUAUUAGGGAAGAACAUAUGUGUAAGUAACUGUGCACAUCUUGACGGUACCUAAUCAGAAAGCCACGGCUAACUACGUG
rnacentral:rRNA from 1 species